rnacentral:rRNA from 1 species
CGUACACUCCUACGGGAGGCAGCAGUGAGGAAUAUUGGACAAUGGGUGGAAGCCUGAUCCAGCCAUCCCGCGUGCAGGAAGACGGCCCUAUGGGUUGUAAACUGCUUUUAUCUGGGGAUAAACCUACUUACGUGUAAGUAGCUGAAGGUACCAGAAGAAUAAGCACCGGCUAACUCCGUGCCAGCAGCCGCGGUAAUACGGAGGGUGCAAGCGUUAUCCGGAUUUAUUGGGUUUAAAGGGUCCGUAGGCGGACUGAUAAGUCAGUGGUGAAAUCCGACAGCUUAACUGUCGAACUGCCAUUGAUACUGUUAGUCUUGAGUAAGGUUGAAGUGGCUGGAAUAAGUAGUGUAGCGGUGAAAUGCAUAGAUAUUACUUAGAACACCAAUUGCGAAGGCAGGUCACUAAGUCUUAACUGACGCUGAUGGACGAAAGCGUGGGUAGCGAACAGGAUUAGAUACCCUUGUAGUCCCAUGA